GACGAACGCUGGCGGCGUGCUUAACACAUGCAAGUCGAGCGGUAAGGCCCUUUCGGGGGUACACGAGCGGCGAACGGGUGAGUAACACGUGGGUGACCUGCCCUCAGCUCUGGGAUAAGCCUGGGAAACCGGGUCUAAUACUGGAUAUGACUCCAUGACGCAUGUUGUGGGGUGGAAAGCCUUGUGCGGCUGAGGAUGGGCCCGCGGCCUAUCAGCUUGUUGGUGGGGUGANGGCCUACCAAGGCGACGACGGGUAGCCGGCCUGAGAGGGCGACCGGCCACACUGGGACUGAGACACGGCCCAGACUCCUACGGGAGGCAGGCAGUGGGGAAUCUUGCGCAAGUGGGCGAAAGCCUGACGCAGCGACGCCGCGUGAGGGAU
rnacentral:rRNA from 1 species